UACGUAGGGUCCGAGCGUUGUCCGGAAUUAUUGGGCGUAAAGGGCUCGUAGGCGGUUUGUCGCGUCGGGAGUGAAAACACCGGGCUUAACUCGGUGCUUGCUUUCGAUACGGGCAGACUAGAGGCAUGCAGGGGAGAAUGGAAUUCCUGGUGUAGCGGUGAAAUGCGCAGAUAUCAGGAGGAACACCAGUGGCGAAGGCGGUUCUCUGGGCAUGUCCUGACGCUGAGGAGCGAAAGUGUGGGGAGCGAACAGG
rnacentral:rRNA from 1 species